rnacentral:rRNA from 1 species
UACGUAGGGGCCAAGCGUUACCCGGAUUUACUGGGCGUAAAGGGCGUGUAGGUGGCUGCGUAAGUUUGCUGUGAAAUCUUUCGGCUCAACCGGGAGAGGUCAGCUAAUACUGCGCGGCUUGAGGGCAGCAGAGGAAGGUGGAAUUCCCGGUGUAGCGGUGAAAUGCGUAGAUAUCUGGAGGAACACCGGUGGCGAAGGCGGCGUUCUGGACUGCAUCUGACACUGAAAGACGAAAGCCAGGGGAGCAAACGGG